rnacentral:lncRNA from 1 species
CGGGGCCAUUUUAUCUAGCAGAGAACUCUUGUCCUUUAUGAGUCCUGUUUACAUUAAUUUCCAUAGAAACUGCACAUAGCUCACCUCUACCCCAAUGGAUGGCCAACAAAUGUCAGGGCCCGGGACUGGCCAGCGCCUUUGUCAGUUGCACCGGCAUUGGUCGUCCUGGCGCCCGCUUUCUCUCCUGGUUCUGUCUUUUAGUUUGAUUUCUCAGGCCUGCAUCAUAUACUGGGCAGGGGACUGGAACCUAACUGCAGGGGUCUCCAGUACCAGGAACACCAGAGAGGCCGAGGGAGAAGCAGAGAUGAAACCAGAGAGGAAACAGAGGGGAGAUGACCAGCAUCCCGUGGGCCACGAAGAAAACUACCCAAAUGACCAGGGACCAGCAAAGUAAACUAUGCUCUGCUCACGUAAGGGUGACAAUACCACAUGUGCUGAUGCGGGGAGACUACUCCUGCGACGACAUACUGACGUGAAGACCAUUUUCCCCGUGCGUGAGUGUGCGUGUCCGUGAAGUAUAAUGUCCACAUCAAACUGCUCAGAGCGGCCACCUCUGGUGAAUGACUGGGAAUAGAAAUGUUUCACUUUUCAUUUUCAAAAAAUGUUUUUACAAAAAAAAAAAAAAAAAUGUUUUUACAAUCCUGUCAGUUGACACCCCUCAGAUGUCACAUCGCAGCAAGAAUCCAGGACUCCAGGCCUCAGGCCAACAAAACCAGGGGUGUAUCUUGAAGCCCAGGGGCCACCUGCCAUCACCCCAUUGUGCUGUUCCCCUUGAAGCCGUGGGCCCCACCUCUCCAGCGCCUGCAGCAGCGCCUUCCCACCCUCUUGAGGUCCUUGCCUCUGGGCAGGCUUGACUGCAACCCAGGCGGCCCGGAGAGACCAGUGCUGCACAUCCACUGAGCCCAUGGUCACCUGGGUCCUACGGAUGUACAAUGGGGGCCAGGUCCUGCCCUUGGAUUCCAGGGAGCUGGCACUACUGGGCGACCUGACCCACAGUGCCAUCUUCAACCACCACUGCAAGAGCCUGUAGCACAGCUGCGUGACACUGCUUUGCUGGCUGCUGAAGGCCUGGCACCAGCGCUAGGAGCCCUUCCUGCAUACCCAGGACACCAGCCUGCCUGCUCAAGCUGGGCCCUGCCCCAGUGCACAUGGACCUUAUGGACUGGCUGCUCGCCACAGCGUGCCCCGGGAGGGUGGAUGAGCAGCCCCCAGCAGGACACUGCUAGCCCUUGGGGGUCCUGGGCUAUGGCAGGAGAGGCAGGGGCCUUGCCUGUACGUCCUUAUCCCGGCCACUUCAUGUACAGCACUCCCCCAAGCCCGAGAGGGAGUAAGCCAUGAAAGUGGCCGCUUGCUGUGGGUCUAUGGGGCGGGGGGGGGGUCAGCCACGUCCCUGCCUCUGCCACAUGGGCCCCAAAGCAGGCCAAGCCAGGGACCCCAUGGCCCACAAGGCAAAGGCAUCUUCAGUUUUCACUGUAAAAGUUUUUUAAUGCAUUCUUUUUACUUAAUGUUUUAGGCGUGUGUGACACUUUGGUUUUAGCAGUCAUGUCCCCCUCGUGGCCCUGACUGGCUUUCUGGCUGGCUUUUUCCUGUGGGCAGUUGCCCUCCCUCUCAGAGUGUGCUUUCGGUGUGCUGGCCUGGGGGCGCCCACUGAUCCCUCCCAAGUACUCCGGUGGCUUUGGCUGCCCCCAUGGCCACAGGCCAGCGCCUGGGGGUCUGGGUUGAGGGGCAUCCGUAUGAGCAGGGUUCCGAGGACUCUGCUAGCCACAGGCGCCAUUAAGUGGCAGGUGCAGCGCCCUUCCUGAGCCGAGGUGGGUGGCGUGGUCCGGGUGGGACGCUGGUCCAGGGCGGGGGUGCACGGGCUGGCCCACCUUGGGGCCCAGCUCUCCAGCAGUCUGAUGAGGAAGGGUGGGCCUGUGGUAGCCAGUCGGGCAAGAGGCCAAGCCCUGGGCCUGCCACAGGGACCAGCCCAGCCACCUGUGGGGCCAGUCUGCAUCCUGCUAGGCCGCCUGCCUGCCCCGGCCCCCACUGCCUGCACCCUCAGGUGCAGGCUCAGUGCAGGACCUGGCUUACAAGCAGCUACUGCAAUACUGUCCUCACCAGCAUUGUCAAGGGGACCUGAGCUUGCAUGGCUUUCAGUCUGUCAGCAGGCAUGGUCACUGGUCAGUGACUGCCCAGCGAAGGGGAGGUGCAUGCUCUCCCCCCCCACCCCGUAAUGGCAGCUCCUCCCACGGGCACCCCUGAGCAACCACCUGGUCCCUGCCUGGCUCCCUGCUGGGUUACAGGCUUAGCUCUGCUAAAGGUGCUGCGUUAGGGACAUGGCUCCCACAGUAGUACAGAAAUGCACAUCACACACACGUGUACAUACUGGCUCCAGAGUUG